rnacentral:rRNA from 1 species
UAGGGAAUCUUCCGCAAUGGGCGAAAGCCUGACGGAGCAACGCCGCGUGAGUGAAGAAGGAUUUCGGUUCGUAAAGCUCUGUUGUUAGGGAAGAAUGGAUAUGUAGUAACUAUACAUAUAAGAGACGGUACCUAACCAGAAAGCCACGGCUAACUACGUGCCAGCAGCCGCGGUAAUACGUAGGUGGCAAGCGUUGUCCGGAAUUAUUGGGCGUAAAGCGCGCGCAGGUGGUUUAAUAAGUCUGAUGUGAAAGCCCACGGCCCAACCGUGGAGGGUCAUUGGAAACUGUUAAACUUGAGUGCAGGAGAGAAAAGUGGAAUUCCUAGUGUAGCGGUGAAAUGCGUAGAGAUUAGGAGGAACACCAGUGGCGAAGGCGGCUUUUUGGCCUGUAACUGACACUGAGGCGCGAAAGCGUGGGGAGCAAACAGGAUUAGAUACCCUGGUAGUCCACGCCGUAAACGAUGAGUGCUAAGUGUUGGUCUCAUAAGAGAUCAGUGCUGCAGCUAACGCAUUAAGCACUCCGCCUGGGGAGUACGACCGCAAGGUUG